rnacentral:rRNA from 1 species
AUGUACAUUCUUACAUCGUAGUGUUAAUGCACCAUAUCCCAUUGGCACUCCAAAGUUAAGCACGCCCGGGCUAGAGUAUGGGUGACCACCUGGGAAGUCCUAGUGUUUUACAUG